UACAGAGGGGGCAAGCGUUGUUCGGAAUUACUGGGCAUAAAGCGCACGUAGGUGGUCCGCUAAGUCGAUUGUGAAAUUCCCCGGCUCAACCGGGGAACGGCACUCGAUACUGGCGGGCUUGAGGUCCGGAGGGGUGAGUGGAACUCCUGGUGGAGCGGUGAAAUGCGUAGAUAUCAGGAGGAACACCGGUGGCGAAAGCGGCUCACUGGCCGGAAUCUGACACUGAGGUGCGAAAGCUAGGGUAGCAAACGGG
rnacentral:rRNA from 1 species